ensembl:misc_RNA 7SK 7SK RNA
GGAAGUUGGUCUGGCUAUGACAUCCGCUACCCUCUUGGCUGCCAGGGUUGGGUUGGCUGAUGUGGCUGGUUAAAGGGUGUCUUCUUCCUUCCUCACCCCAUCCGGGUGUGCUCUUCCUGAAACUGAGGACAUCCAGCCAAAGAGGUUGACCUUCUCUGCUAGAGGGACAUGGUGCUUUGGUCAAGGGUAUGGUGGUAACUGUGCUGCCCUUGCAGAAGGGCGAAAGGAUGUUUCAGAGUUACUAUCUGUCUUGCCAGAAAUUACAGAGCAAGACAGAGAUGGAUCUGAACUAGUCAUUUCU